GAAUAAGUGGUGGGCAAGACGGUUGCCAGCCGCCGCGGUAAUAACCGCGCCACGAGUGGUAGUCACGUUUAUUGGGUCUAAAGCAUCCGUAGCUGGUCUGACAAGUCCUCGGUGAAAUCUGGUAGCAAACUACCAGGCGUGCCGAGGAUACUAUCAGACUAGAGACUGGGAGAGGUGUGGAGUACUUCGGAGGUAGGGGUAAAAUCCUUUAAUCUCCGAGGGACUACCUGUGGCGAAGGCGCCACACUAGAACAGAUCUGACAGUGAGGGAUGAAAGUUAGGGGAGCGAUCGGGAUUAGAUACCCCGGUAGUCCUAACUGUAAACGAUGCCCGCUUGGUGUUACAGAUCCUUAGCGGAUCUGUUGUGCCGUAGUGAAGACGUUAAGCGGGCCACCUGGGGAGUACGACCGCAAGGUUGAA
rnacentral:rRNA from 1 species